rnacentral:misc_RNA from 1 species
GAAAUGCGAUAAGUAGUGUGAAUUGCAGAAUUCAGUGAAUCAUCGAAUCUUUGAACGCACAUUGCGCCCUUUGGUAUUCCUUAGGGCAUGCCUGUUCGAGCGUCAUUUAACCCUUCAAGCCUUGCUUGGUGUUGGGCGCUUGUCCCGCCUCGGGCGCGGACUCGCCUUAAAAUCAUUGGCGGCCUGUGUAUUGGCUUCGAGCGCAGCAGAAUCGCGCCUUCGACCCGGCACACUGGCGUCCAGUAAGCCAACCAACCCAAUUUUGACCUCGGAUCAGGUAGGGAUACCCGCUGAACUUAAGC